AUGGGAGGGAGGACUUACACGCAGGCCCAGUGCUGGGCGCUGUGCUUGCCUUAUUCCCGCAAAACCUCCCGGAAACCUUGUUCUCCAGGUUUGGAAGUGAGGCUCAGAGACAUACAGCGCCUGGCCCGGGGGUCCAACAGCAAGCAAGCAAAGGGAUGCCAAAGCAAGCUCUGUCCGUUCCACUGCUCUGGGACCCUGCCCCUAACGGGCGCCCCGUUUUUCACAAGGUACAGCAUGAUCCCCUGAAGUCACCCUCUUUCUCCCUGCUGUUCUUUUCAGAUCCCUGGUGAGGAAUCCUGAAAUUCAGCCCGAAACCCCUUUGGGAUUUCAGCUCCCAUCUGGCCCAAGAUUCAUGCAGAGAUUUGCAGAUCCCCCAGAGGGGCCCGACUGCCGUGAUUCCCAGGAGUGCCCUCAAGGACCUCGGCUGCCCUUGGGGACAGAGCCUCGGGCCCAGGGAGCUCAAAGUCUACACACACAGUGGUGAUCGGGCACAGAGGGAGGGGGCUCGGCACUUCGGUUCUGAACUGGAGUUCCUGGGUUUGGACAUGGCCUCCCUCCUUCCAGUCCCGCAGCCUUGGCCACCCAUUCUGUAAAAUGAGGACAAGGAGGAUGAUCCGCCCAGAACUGUUGGAGCCUUAAAUAUAAGAAUCCCUGUGGUGGCCAGCCAGUAAACUGCUUAUGGCCGCUGCUAUUAUUAUCAAAGAGAUGCAAACUAAAAGUUAAGGGAGAUAGGUAGUAAAAGUUAAGUGUAGGGGCCAGCUCUGUGGCAUAGCGGGCUAAAGCCCUGGCCUGCACUGCCGGCACCCCAUAGGGGCGCUUGUUCCAGCCCCGGCUGCUCCACUUCUGAUCCAGCUCUCUGUUAUGGCCUAGGAAAGCAGUAGAAGAUGGCCCAAGUCCUUGAGCCACUGCACCCACGUGGGAGACCCAGAAGAAGCUCCUGGCUUCAGAUGGGCUCAGCUCCAGCUGUUGCAGCCAUUUGGGGAGUGAACCAGUAGAUGGAAGACCCCUCUCUCUCUCUCUCUCUCUCUCUCUCUUUCCCUCUCCCUCUUCCUCUCUGUACCUCUGCCUUUCAAAUAAAUAAAUAAAUCUUAAAAAAAAGCUAUGUGUG
rnacentral:lncRNA from 1 species